rnacentral:rRNA from 1 species
UUCCUACGGGGGGCAUCAGUGAUUAAUCUUGUUCACUUUCCUUCAGGCUGAACCAGCCAAGCCGCGUGAAGGACGAAGGUGCCAAGCAUUGUAAACUUCUUUUGUCAAGGGACAAAAUCAGGCUCGAGAGCCUGACCGAGGGUACUUGAAGAAAAAGCAUCGGCUAACUCCGUGCCAGCAGCCGCGGUAAUACGGAGGAUGCGAGCGUUAUCCGGAUUUAUUGGGUUUAAAGGGUGCGUAGGCGGACUGUUAAGUCAGCGGUAAAAUCCCGGGGCUCAACCCCGGCGAGCCGUUGAAACUGGCUG